rnacentral:lncRNA from 1 species
AUAGACAGCAUCUCUAUCCCAGAGGUACGGGGUGCCAAGGAUUACUUGACAAAUAUGGUACAACUGCACAAGUGGUCUCAUUGAUGUAAUGAUUGGUAAUGGCAAAACGGAACGUGCAUUGACGAUCAAUCUUUUCCUCAACAUCCUUCUGUAUCCAAUCAAGUGGGUAUGGCCGUGAGUGGAAAAUGGUUUCCAACCCCAGUUUCUGAACCAAGCUGGAUGAGAUUAGAUUCUUUUGGUUGUCCGUGUAAAUAAUAGAGUCAAUGACCUCCUACUUCACUUGAAUUCGCAAGGUAAACAACUCUUCUUUCAUGUCGGGUGGGCUUUGCAAAUCGAAGCUUGUCUCUUUCAACAUUGCCUUUAACGACAAACUUUGGUGCACUACUGUCACCUGCCCAAGUUCAAUCUAUUCCUCUUCUGCAGGAUCCAUUGUAGUCACUGUGCGUUUACCUCUAUCAUCUAUCUUCCAUUCUGCAGGGAAAAGUUCAGGAUGUAACUUACAGCAUGUAUCCUUGUCAUGUCCUG